AAGCAUCUUUCCCAAGAAAAUCUGGAGCAGGUGUAUCCAAAAUGUAGGAGACUUUCUCCUGAGUGAGAAUAAUUCUCAUAUUUCUAAGCAGUCAACAUAGUUAGGUCCAAUCAACUUGUUUGCAUCUAGGAUACCUCUAAGUGAAAUUAAAGAUGCCAUAUGUGUAGUUAAUCUACAACAACAAGAACAUAACAUAAGCGGAC
rnacentral:lncRNA from 1 species